rnacentral:rRNA from 1 species
GUCAGCAGUAAUAUCACCUUGCAAUACAACUGGUAACCCACAGAAGCUAAGCAGGUGUGAGCCUGGUCAGUACCUUGAUGAGAGACCAACUGGGAAAAACUAAGGUUGCUGCUGGAA